rnacentral:rRNA from 1 species
UACAGAGGUCUCAAGCGUUGUUCGGAUUCAUUGGGCGUAAAGGGUGCGUAGUCGGCUUUGCAAGUCGGGUGUGAAAUCCCCGGGCUCAACCUGGGAACUGCAUCCGAGACUGCAUUGCUAGAGUAUGGGAGAGGGAAGCGGAAUUUCUGGUGUAGCAGUGAAAUGCGUAGAUAUCGUAAGGAAGACCAGUGGCGAAGGCGGGUCUCUGGACAGUUCCCUGACGCUGAGGGCACGAAGGU